GACGAACCGUGCGAACGUUAUUCGGAAUCACUGGGCUUAAAAGGGGCGCGUAGGCGGGUCGGUAAGUCAGGGGGUGAAAUCCCACGGCCCCAACCGUGGAAGUGCCUCUGAUACUGCCGGCCUCGAGGGGGAUAGGGGCGUGCGGAACUCAGGGUGGAGCGGUGAAAUGCGUAGAUAUCCUGAGGAACACCGGUGGCGAAAGCGGCGCGCUGGAUCCCUUCUGACGCUGAGGCGCGAAAGCCAGGGGAGCAAACGGGG
rnacentral:rRNA from 1 species